rnacentral:misc_RNA from 1 species
AAAAACCCUAAAAAUGGAGUUCCCUGAGAUCAACAUGAUCAGCGAUUUUGAAGCAGGGGUGAAAUGUCUUCAAAACCCAUCUAUGGUUUCUCGAUUCUUUUCACUUUCUCCCAUUGAAAAAGUACCUCAAGUUUACAGUUUUUGGAAAUGGGGUGCUUUAAUUCUCGCCAUUUUAGCUACUUUCAGCAGCUUAAUAAGAAAAAUCAAGCUAUUGUUCAUUUACGUUCGUAGAAUCAAACCUUCUGCUGAACCCCUUCUUCAAUAUCUAGGCGAAGACUUCGAUAUUUCCGAUGAUGAUGACGAAGAUGAUAAAUGUUCAUCGGCGGCGGCGCCGUCUUCUGAUGAUGAGGAUCUAUUAGAUCAACAAAUUGAUGAGAAUUUUACUGUUGCCGGGUCGUGUUUUUAUUUCAGGGAAAAAGGGAAUUUGAGAUUCCGUCGGCGGAGAAAUAGCUUAGAGAGGUUUCCAUGGACGGAAUUUUCAGCCGGGAAGAAUGUUGUAAAGCUAUGGGAUAGUUUAGCUUUAGGAUUAGAUUAUGAAUACGAAGAUUUAUCGAAAAGUGUAGUUUCGUUAUGGGAUUUGAACCAGGAAGAGAAAAUAGGAAAUUUAUUUACUGGAUCUUCUAAGGUACCGUCGGUAGCAAUGGCGUCGCCGUCGAUGGUUUUGUCAUCGGAAGUGAAAAACGACAGGAACGGUGUUGUUUUAGCUGCGUAUGAUACGAGGAUGAGAAGUAAUUCUCCGGCGAUAUAUGCUGACUGGGGUAAAGGAUCAGGGAAGGUCGUCGGAGUUAAUGGUUCCGGCGUCGGAAAAGUUUACGUCAGAAAUGAAUCCGCCGGGAAGUUGACGGUCGGUGAUUUGAGAAACGUGAAAACGCCGUUAGAGAAAAUUGACGGUGACACGUGGUGGGACGCAGACGCCGUUAUUGUCGAGGAGAAAUUUGACGGUUCAAAAAAUUAAGAAAACGCGGCGAAGACUUGUGUUUUUCUAGAGAGGGUAAAAUGGUCAAUGAUCACAUGUCUGUUGUAUCUCUUUGUAUAUAAUUAAUUAUUUUCGAUAAUUAUUGAAAAUGAUGAUAAAUUAAUGUUUAGUCAAGCUUUA